UAACUGCGAGUGAAGCGGGAAAAGCUCAAAUUUAAAAUCUGGCGGUCCUUGGCUGUCCGAGUUGUAAUUUAGAGAAGCGUCUUCCGCGUCGGACCGUGCACAAGUCUCCUGGAAUGGAGCGUCGUAGAGGGUGAGAAUCCCGUCUUUGGCACGGAUGCCCGGUGCUUCUGUGAUGCGCUCUCAAAGAGUCGAGUUGUUUGGGAAUGCAGCUCAAAAUGGGUGGUGAACUCCAUCUAAAGCUAAAUAUUGGCGAGAGACCGAUAGCGAACAAGUACCGUGAGGGAAAGAUGAAAAGCACUUUGGAAAGAGAGUGAAACAGUACGUGAAAUUGUUGAAAGGGAAACGCUUGAAGUCAGUCGCGUCGUCCGAGACUCAGCCUUGCCUCGGCUUGGUGUACUUCUCGGCUCGACGGGUCAGCAUGAAUUUUGCACCUCGGAUAAUGGCAAGGGAAAGGUGGCACCUUCGCGGGUGUGUUAUAGUCUCGUGUCGCAUGCGAGGGGUGAGAUUGAGGAACUCAGCGUGCGCCUUUUGGUGUCGGGGCUUCGGCCCACGUAACGCGCUUAGGAUGCUGGCGUAAUGGCUUUAAACGACCCGUCUUGAAACACGGACCAAGGAGUCCAACAUGCGCGCGAGUGUUUGGGUGGAAAACCCGUACGCGUAAUCAAAGUGAAAGUUGGGACCUCUGUCGUGGAGGGCACCGACGCCCGGACCAGACCUUCUGUGACGGAUCUGCGGUAGAGCGUGUAUGUUGGGACCCGAAAGAUGGUGAACUAUGCCUGAAUAGGGUGAAGCCAGAGGAAACUCUGGUGGAGGCUCGUAGCGAUUCUGACGUGCAAAUCGAUCGUCAAAUUUGGGUAUA
rnacentral:rRNA from 1 species